rnacentral:rRNA from 1 species
UGGGGAAUAUUGCACAAUGGGCGCAAGCCUGAUGCAGCGACGCCGCGUGAGGGAUGGAGGCCUUCGGGUUGUAAACCUCUUUCGCCAGUGAAGCAGGCCAUCUUCUUUGUGGGGUGGUUGACGGUAGCUGGAUAAGAAGCGCCGGCUAACUACGUGCCAGCAGCCGCGGUAGUACGUAGGGCGCGAGCGUUGUCCGGAAUUAUUGGGCGUAAAGAGCUCGUAGGCGGCUGGUCGCGUCUGUCGUGAAAUCCCCUGGCUUAACUGGGGGCUUGCGGUGGGUACGGGCCGGCUUGAGUGCGGUAGGGGAGACUGGUAUUCCUGGUGUAGCGGUGGAAUGCGCAGAUAUCAGGAGGAGCACCGGUGGCGAAGGCGGGUCUCUGGGCCGUUACUGACGCUGAGGAGCGAAAGCGUGGGGAGCGAACAGG